rnacentral:lncRNA from 1 species
AGAACAAAGUGGACGCCAGAGAAUGGUGGUACAGAUGCCCAAAAAACUGUCACAGGGAAGCUCAGGGGCGGAAUGCAGGAGAGGCCUGGGUACCACACUCCUGUCCCUUUCACAAAGAACGGCAAAUGGCAAGGGACGAAUUGUGUAAGCACCAAUCUCCAGGCUGCACGUGUUUGGUCCUUCACAGAAAUGUCCUCGCUCCUCUUUGUUUCUCGCCCCAACUCUUUCCACUCGUUCCAUGAUGCACUCAUUCCUCACUGGACAGAGCUGGUUGUACAUCUGAUAAGCACUGAUCGGUUUCACCAGAGCCAAGUUCUCUCCCGUGAACUAGACACGUGCUGUUUCAUUUAUUCUUGACAGCGGUACAGCAAUGGGCAGGUGUCAAUAUCAUUGUCCCCCAAUCUACAGAGGGGGCAGAAAAUUGGCUUCCUAUUGCUGCCACAUCAAAUGGGCACAUACUUCGUGGUCUUAAACAGCACAUACUGUCGUCCAGAACUGGGGGUCAGAAGUCCAACCUGGAUCUUGCUGAGCUGACGUCAGGGUCAGCUGGGUUGCCUUCCCAUGGAAGUUCUAGGGGACACUCUGUUUUUCCCUGCUUCUGGAGGCCACCUGCACUUCAUGACACGUGACCUUCCCCGUCUUCCAAUCCAGCAGCCGCAGGUCCAGCCUCCUCCAUGGUGGGACUCCGACACAGACUCCUUUUCUGCCUCCUGUUCCCAAGUUUAA